rnacentral:lncRNA from 1 species
UUUUUUGUUCGUGUCCUCGAUUUUAAGUAGUGAGGUUUUACUUUGUGGGUUAGAUAAAUUCUUUAUACCAGUUGAUGGUGCCCUUAAAACUCUCCCAUCUUUCAAUCUCAGCCGUAAUAACUCAAGAAUUACGGCUAAUCGACCAACGGUUUUCAGCUCCUCCCCGCAUUUCUCACAGUCGAUCGUUUCUCCUCCUAUGUUCAAUCGGUUUUCAGGUUCCUUCCAAGACAUGGUAGUUCUCCUUCAAUCAUCACGAUACGGAACCUUCUUAGUCGGUAACUGCCCAAACCACGACCUAGAAAUCGGGCUUAUAUAAAUAUAUAAUGAUCCGUCUAUGUUUAAUGGUUCUAUGUUUCAAUCAAUGUAUUGAAUUGCUUCAUUUGAUGUUAACAAUUAUGGAUUCAAGUUCAGCUAAAAAUAGUUCACCUAAGGUAAAUUUAUCGACUUCUACUUAAUUUUUCAAUGUUUCAAUGAGUUUCAUCAAUUGAUUCCUUUUGUGAACAAUUAUCGAUAUACAAUUUCGUCUCAAAUAGUCUUCAACUAAGGUAAAAUCUUUACAAUUAGUUAAUUUUAUGUUUUACAUUCGUAGUUUUUUACCAUCCGACUUCGAUUUGUACUUCAUUUCAUCUUCAAUUUCGUUGUAUAAUCGACUUUAAUGUUCAUUUAUGUUUGUAUAAUCGACAAUCUUAUUGCUUUGAUCUGUAUCGUACUCAAUUUCAGGUUUCUUAAAUUCUUAAUGUAUACCGAUUAAAUUGGUUUGUUUGGGCUCUUUGGCUUUCAAUAAGGUUAACCCUCCCUUUCUUUGUCCCGAUUCCAAUUUAUGUAAAUGUUUGGGCUAUCUAAGAUGAUUAUGCUAAUUUCUUUUUUAUUACUUUAUUAUAAAUAAAUAAUUUAUUGCAUGAUACAGAGUGAUAAAUUUUUUUUGGAACUGCAGUUCCAAAUUUACUGCUUCAGCACAAUCCUUUAGCUAAUAAUCACCACCCUGUAAUGUAUAGUGAAGCAUUUGGUUUACAUUUUUGCAGGACCUGAUUAUUUAACAACUAGCAGAAGGAUAAUCUGCAAACCACAGGAAGAGGUUUGAUGUCUAAGAAUGAUGAUACUGAAGAUUUGAUGCUUGAACAUGAAUUAUAUUUAAUCACUCUACAAUCCCGUCUUAUAAAACUCCACAUACCUCAAAAUUGUCUCAAAAUUACAACUGUUCAAUAUUUUUCUUAUUCUUGUCAAUAUUUUCCAGUAAUCAAAUGAACCUAGCAUUUAAUUAUCUUUAUUCAACCUCCUGAAACUUUAUAUGUUUUGUUCGCUAAUAUCCAUUUUCAACAAUUUCAUUUCUUUAAGCAUUUAAAUUUAUAAAGUUGAAGUCCCAUAGAUUGGGCACAACUUUUUCCUAACCCGAUAUGUUGCUCCAAUUAGUACUUUGUGAUGUUUCAAAUGAAAAUUUUCAAUGAUGGGGACUUCAUGGAAAGUAAAAGAAAAUAAAAAAG